AUUGAACGCUGGCGGCAGGCCUAACACAUGCAAGUCGAACGAGUGGCGGACGGGUGAAUAGUGUCUGGGAAACUGCCUGAUGGAGGGGGAUAACUACUGGAAACUGUAUCUAAUACCGCAUACCAUCAGGUGUCCCCAGAUGGGAUGAGCUUGUGGGGGGGGUAACGGCGCACCAAGGCGACGAUCCCUAGCUGGUCUGAGAGGAUGACCAGCCACACUGGAACUGAGACACGGCCCAGACUCCUACGGGAGGCAGCAGUGGGGAAUAUUGCACAAUGGGCGCAAGCCUGAUGCAGCCAUGCCGCGUGUAUGAAGAAGGCCCUCGGGUUGUAAAGUACUUUCAGCGGGGAGGCGUUACCCGCAGAAGAAGCACCGGCUAACUCCGUGCCAGCAGCCGCGGUAAUUC
rnacentral:rRNA from 1 species